AUUGAACGCUGGCGGCAGGCUUAACACAUGCAAGUCGAGCGGAGAUGAGGUGCUUGCACCUUAUCUUAGCGGCGGACGGGUGAGUAAUGCUUAGGAAUCUGCCUAUUAGUGGGGGACAACAUUCCGAAAGGAAUGCUAAUACCGCAUACGUCCUACGGGAGAAAGCAGGGGAUCUUCGGACCUUGCGCUAAUAGAUGAGCCUAAGUCGGAUUAGCUAGUUGGUGGGGUAAAGGCCUACCAAGGCGACGAUCUGUAGCGGGUCUGAGAGGAUGAUGCGCCACACUGGGAAUGAGACACGGCCCAGACUCCUACGGGAGGCAGCAGUGGGGAAUAUUGGACAAUGGGGGGAACCCUGAUCCAGCCAUGCCGCGUGUGUGAAGAAGGCCUUAUGGUUGUAAAGCACUUUAAGCGAGGAGGAGGCUACUGAGACUAAUACUCUUGGAUAGUGGACGUUACUCGCAGAAUAAGCACCGGCUAACUCUGUGCCAGCCGCCGCUGUAA
rnacentral:rRNA from 1 species